GCAAGUCGAGCGGACAGAAGGGAGCUUGCUCCCGGUAUGUUAGCGGCGGACGGGUGAGUAACACGUGGGUAACCUGCCUGUAAGACUGGGAUAACUCCGGGAAACCGGAGCUAAUACCGGAUAGUUCCUUGAACCGCAUGGUUCAAGGAUGAAAGACGGUUUCGGCUGUCACUUACAGAUGGACCCGCGGCGCAUUAGCUAGUUGGUGCGGGUAAUGGCUCACCAAGGCGACGAUGCGUAGCCGACCUGAGAGGGUGAUCGGCCACACUGGGACUGAGACACGGCCCAGACUCCUACGGGAGGCAGCAGUAGGGAAUCUUCCGCAAUGGACGAAAGUCUGACGGAGCAACGCCGCGUGAGUGAUGAAGGUUUUCGGAUCGUAAAGCUCUGUUGUUAGGGAAGAACAAGUGCGAGAGUAACUGCUCGCACCUUGACGGUACCUAACCAGAAAGCCACGGCUAACUACGUGCCAGCAGCCGCGGUAAUACGUAGGUGGCAAGCGUUGUCCGGAAUUAUUGGGCGUAAAGGGCUCGCAGGCGGUUUCUUAAGUCUGAUGUGAAAGCCCCCGGCUCAACCGGGGAGGGUCAUUGGAAACUGGGAAACUUGAGUGCAGAAGAGGAGAGUGGAAUUCCACGUGUAGCGGUGAAAUGCGUAGAGAUGUGGAGGAACACCAGUGGCGAAAGGCGUACUCUCUGCUGCGUGCUGUUAACUUAACGCCUGAGUGAA
rnacentral:rRNA from 1 species